AUUGAACGCUGGCGGCGUGCUAACACAUGCAAGUCGAGCGGUAACAGGUGUAGCAAUACAUGCUGACGAGCGGCGAACGGGUGAGUAAUGCUUUGGAAUCUUCCCAGUAGUGGGGAAUAACCAGUCGAAAGAUUGGCUAAUACCGCAUACGUCUGUAAAGGGAAAGCGGGGGACUCGUAAGAACCUCGCGCUAUUGGAUGAGCCAAAGUCGGAUUAGCUAGUUGGUGGGGUAAUGGCCUACCAAGGCGACAAUCCGUAGCUGGUCUGAGAGGACGACCAGCCACACCGGAACUGAGACACGGUCCGGACUCCUACGGGAGGCAGCAGUGGGGAAUAUUGGACAAUGGGGGAAACCCUGAUCCAGCGACGCCGCGUGUGUGAAGAAGGCCUGCGGGUUGUAAAGCACUUUUAGUGGGGACAAAAAGCUACGGAUUAAUACUCUGUGGUCUUGAUUUAACCCAAAGAAAAAGCACCGGCUAACUCUGUGCCAGCAGCCGCGGUAAUACAGAGGGUGCGAGCGUUAAUCGGAAUUACUGGGCGUAAAGCGCGCGUAGACGGUUUUGUAAGUCAGAUGUGAAAUCCCUGGGCUCAACCUGGGAACUGCAUUUGAUACUGCAU
rnacentral:rRNA from 1 species